rnacentral:sRNA from 1 species
UACCGCAUUUGGUCACAGUGUUUACUAAAGACUCAGAAAGCAAACUGGCAUGUGUCUGCAUGGGAUGUUCAUUGCCUUGGAAUAGCUCCUUCCUCACUGUUAGGUUUUUAGAUACAAAGUGUCUCCUGAAGGCUCCAUGCAUUGAAGGUUGGUGGCCAGUGGGUUGGGAGUUUGGGGAGGCAAUUGAAGCUUGAAGAAGGCACUAACCUCAUCAAUGGCUAGUCCAAGAUAGGCUUGCAAGUUGAUAAUGUUGGGAGGGGGUGGAAACUUCUGGAGAAGAAGCUUCACUGGAAUAAGUGGGUACCUGGGCUGUUAACCUGUUUCUUGUCUUCCUGCAUCUCUGAGCAGCUUUUCUCCACCAGGUCUUCUCUGCCCCAGGUUCUUUCUCUCCACAAGGUACAGGAAGGAAGGCUCACAGCACCGGCUGAGCAAUGAGCCCAGACUAAGUUGCCUAUCUCAGCCAUUUCCUCAUCAUACAUUCCAUUGUCACGUAGCUUCUGUGAGCAGCCUCCUGUAGGACCCUCAUGGAUGCCAGUGUGUAUAGGGGACCAGUCUUCCCCAGCAUCAGGUAUCAUAGAAAUGCUGGGUUCUUCUAUUUAAUACUUCCCUGCAAUUUGAAUAAUCUUUUCUUUCUUCUUUAUGUGUAGAGUUUGCUAUGCCAGCCAGGCCUUUCUGCAAACGGAGUGAGGUCAAAACCUGACUUAUUGUAUAUGGAAUCAAUAAGGAAGACAUGCCAAGGAGAGCGGGGCAUGCUGGUCACAGGGACAUUGGAAAGGCACAGAGAUACCCCGUUUUGGAAUCAGGCCAUCUGACUCUCAGUGAUUUGACGUAAUGUUCUUAUUUGGAUAGAAAGAAAAAAAAUUAGAGCCGAUGUGAAAAGGAAUUACUCAACCAGCAAACACGAAAGCUCACAGCAACUUUCCCAGUCUGUGAGAGUCUGGCCGCAGGAUGGCACAAGUCACAGACAGUGUUCUGGUGAUGUUUGUGGCAAAGCAGUGGGUUUUAUAGCAUAAAGUGGGAUCUGGAUUCCUCAUCUUUGUAUCUUAUGUUCAAGGUUUGUUUUUUAUUUCCUCAGAGCUCAGAAAUAGGCAUGUGGAAAGUACGGUUUAAAAAAUGUACAAUUAAAUUGGUUCUCUGUAUACAGAACUCUGGAAUGUGUUUUCUCUUCAAGAACGUACUGGUUAAAUGUAAAGAGACCAAACAUCCACACUUAAUCAGCAAAAGAGGUUUAUGAUUAUAAGGUGAGCUGAUUCCUACCACAGGCCAUAUCAGGUCAGUCGUGGUGAAUGAAAUUGACUUGGGGCUGGGAAGAUAUACAGCUCUUCUAGAGUGUUCUAGAAUCCCCUUCCCUCCAGA